UACGUAGGGGGCUAGCGUUAUCCGGAAUUACUGGGCGUAAAGGGUGCGUAGGUGGUUUCUUAAGUCAGAGGUGAAAGGCUACGGCUUAACCGUGGAGGGUCAUUGGAAACUGGUUGACUUGAGUGCAGAAGAGGGAAGUGGAAUUCCAUGUGUAGCGGUGAAAUGCGUAGAGAUAUGGAGGAACACCAGUGGCGAAGGCGGCUUCCUGGUCUGCAACUGACACUGAGGCGCGAAAGCGUGGGGAGCAAACAGG
rnacentral:rRNA from 1 species